GAUCAUAUUUUGUGAAAUAUGUAAAAUAUUCCCAAGUAAAACACCAAUAAAAAAUAUAUUAUAUUGUUAUUGUUGCAAUAUCUGUGGUGUAGAGAAUGUUUGAUAUUAAACUUAAUUAAUUUACUGUUUUGUCUUUGAUUUGUGAUUUUUCGACAAAUUUUAUUGAUAAAAAAAUUGACAGUAUAUUAUGAUCUGUCAUUUCUAAAACUGUAUUUGUCACUUGGUUGCUUCAAGAAUCAGAAAUUUUAAUCCAUUCAAAUCAUUAUUAAUCCAGAAAUGGCAAAAGAUGAAGUUAAAAACAAAGUCAAGGACAAGUGUUAUGUAGUCAAGAAUAAUGGCAAAGAGCUGGUUAUAAUAGAUGAUUGUUCUUACACUCAUUAUCCAAAAAAUUGCAAAAAACUCAUCAAAUCUUUAACCAAGUUGCAGGGAUUGGAAAAACUAUUUGAAAAUACUGAUGGUGUCAUUAAAACUGGUUCAAACUCAAAAAGCUUGUGAUUCUGUAAAGUAUGUCAACAUUUCAAGAUGUCAAGAUUGUAACGUAAUAUAUAUCAACAUAAAUACUUUACAAAUUUAAAAA